rnacentral:rRNA from 1 species
AUUGAACGCUGGCGGCAGGCUUAACACAUGCAAGUCGAGCGGAUGAAAGUAGCUUGCUACCGGAUUCAGCGGCGGACGGGUGAGUAAUGCUUAGGAAUCUGCCUAUUAGUGGGGGACAACGUUCCGAAAGGAGCGCUAAUACCGCAUACGUCCUACGGGAGAAAGCAGGGGACCUUCGGGCCUUGCGCUAAUAGAUGAGCCUAAGUCGGAUUAGCUAGUUGGUAGGGUAAAGGCCUACCAAGGCGACGAUCUGUAGCGGGUCUGAGAGGAUGAUCCGCCACACUGGGACUGAGACACGGCCCAGACUCCUACGGGAGGCAGCAGUGGGGAAUAUUGGACAAUGGGGGGAACCCUGAUCCAGCCAUGCCGCGUGUGUGAAGAAGGCCUUUUGGUUGUAAAGCACUUUAAGCGAGGAGGAGGCUACCUAGAUUAAUACUUUAGGAUAGUGGACGUUACUCGCAGAAUAAGCACCGGCUAACUCUGUGCCAGCAGCCGCGGUAAUACAGAGGGUGCGAGCGUUAAUCGGAUUUACUGGGCGUAAAGCGUGCGUAGGCGGCCAAUUAAGUCAAAUGUGAAAUCCCCGAGCUUAACUUGGGAAUUGCAUUCGAUACUGGUUGGCUAGAGUAUGGGAGAGGAUGGUAGAAUUCCAGGUGUAGCGGUGAAAUGCGUAGAGAUCUGGAGGAAUACCGAUGGCGAAGGCAGCCAUCUGGCCUAAUACUGACGCUGAGGUACGAAAGCAUGGGGAGCAAACAGGAUUAGAUACCCUGGUAGUCCAUGCCGUAAACGAUGUCUACUAGCCGUUGGGGCCCUUGAGGCUUUAGUGGCGCAGCUAACGCGA